UGGGGAAUAUUGGACAUUGGGCGGAAGCCUGAUCCAGCCAUGCCGCGUGUGUGAAGAAGGCCUUUUGGUUGUAAAGCACUUUAAGCGAGGAGGAGGCUACUUGGAUUAAUACUCUAGGAUAGUGGACGUUACUCGCAGAAUAAGCACCGGCUAACUCUGUGCCAGCAGCCGCGGUAAUACAGAGGGUGCGAGCGUUAAUCGGAUUUACUGGGCGUAAAGCGUGCGUAGGCGGCUUCUUAAGUCGGAUGUGAAAUCCCUGAGCUUAACUUAGGAAUUGCAUUCGAUACUGGGAAGCUAGAGUAUGGGAGAGGAUGGUAGAAUUCCAGGUGUAGCGGUGAAAUGCGUAGAGAUCUGGAGGAAUACCGAUGGCGAAGGCAGCCAUCUGGCCUAAUACUGACGCUGAGGUACGAAAGCAUGGGGAGCAAACAGG
rnacentral:rRNA from 1 species